rnacentral:rRNA from 1 species
CCUACGGGAGGCAGCAGUUAGGAAUUUUGCACAAUGGGCGAAAGCCUGAUGCAGCAACGCCGCGUGGACGAUGAAGGCCUUCGGGUCGUAAAGUCCUUUUCAGGGGGAAGAAAUGGACGGUACCUCUGGAAUAAGCCUCGGCUAACUACGUGCCAGCAGCCGCGGUAAUACGUAGGAGGCGAGCGUUAUCCGGAUUUACUGGGCGUAAAGAGCGCGUAGGCGGUUCCGUAAGUUGGGUGUGAAAGCCCCGGGCUUAACUGGGGAGGGUCGUUCAAUACUGCGGGACUUGAGGGCGGACGAGGAGAGUGGAAUUCCGGGUGUAGUGGUGAAAUGCGUAGAGAUCGGGAGGAACACCCGUGGCGUAGGCGGCGUCCUGGCCGACACCUGACGCUGAAGCGCGAAAGCGGGGGG